rnacentral:rRNA from 1 species
CCUACGGGAGGCUGCAGUGGGGAAUAUUGGACAAUGGGGGGAACCCUGAUCCAGCCAUGCCGCGUGUGUGAAGAAGGCCCUCGGGUUGUAAAGCACUUUCAGUGAGGAAGAACGCCUGGUGGUUAAUACCCAUCAGGAAAGACAUCACUCACAGAAGAAGCACCGGCUAACUCCGUGCCAGCAGCCGCGGUAAUACGGAGGGUGCGAGCGUUAAUCGGAAUUACUGGGCGUAAAGCGCGCGUAGGUGGCUUGAUAAGCCGGUUGUGAAAGCCCCGGGCUCAACCUGGGAACGGCAUCCGGAACUGUCAAGCUAGAGUGCAGGAGAGGAAGGUAGAAUUCCCGGUGUAGCGGUGAAAUGCGUAGAGAUCGGGAGGAAUACCAGUGGCGAAGGCGGCCUUCGGGACUGACACUGACACUGAGGUGCGAAAGCGUGGGUAGCAAACAGGAUUAGAUACCCGGGUAGU